AUGGCUUCCGCCGUCGCUUGCAAGGGCAAGGUUCCCGUGCCGGCCAGCCUCCUCAAGUCCGGUGCUCCCGUGGCCUUCUGCGCGCUCCAGUCCCCCGCCGUCACCGCCGCCCGCCGCCCGUACAACACCCAGUUCAAGGUCAAGGAGGUCAGCCGCUACGAUGACGACGACGACGACUACAGCGGCCGCGACCUCGUCAUCCCCAGCUUCUUCUCGCAGGACGUGCUCGACCCGCUCGGCGCGCCGACCAGCAUGGAACGUCUGCUGUCUCUGAUGGAGGACGUCGCAUCUCAGACCGGCCUCUCCUCCGCUGCUGGGGCGUCGCGGCUCGGACGCUGGGUGGCCAAGGAGGACGACGACGCGGUCUACCUCAAGGUGCCGAUGCCGGGGCUGACCAAGGAGCACGUGGAGGUGCGCGCGGACAAGAACAUCCUGGUGAUCAAAGGCGAGGGCGAGAAGCAGCCCUGGGACGGCGACGGCGACUCCGCAGUGCCGAGGUACAACCGCCGCAUCGAGAUGCCCGCCGACGCGUACAAGAUGGACAAGAUCAAGGCCGAGAUGAAGAAUGGCGUGCUCUGGGUCACCCUGCUCAAGGUCAAGGAGGAGGAGCGCAAGGACGUCUUCCACGUCAAGGUCGAGUAG
rnacentral:rRNA from 1 species